AGCUAAUAGAUACCCAGGUAGUCCACGCCCUAAACGAUGUCUACUAGUUGUCGGGUCUUCAUUGACUUGGUAAACGCAGCUAAACGCGUGAAGUAGACCGCCUGGGGAGUACGGUCGCAAGAUUAAAACUCAAAGGAAUUGACGGGGACCCGCACAAGCGGUGGAUGAUGUGGAUUAAUUCGAUGCAACGCGAAAACCUUACCUACCCUUGACAUGGUCGGAACCCUGAAGAGAUUCGGGGGUGCUCGAAAGAGAACCGAUACACAGGUGCUGCAUGGCUGUCGUCAGCUCGUGUCGUGAGAUGUUGGGUUAAGUCCCGCAACGAGCGCAACCCUUGUCAUUAGUUGCUACGAAAGGGCACUCUAAUGAGACUGCCGGUGACAAACCGGAGGAAGGUGGGGAUGACGUCAAGUCCUCAUGGCCCUUAUGGGUAGGGCUUCACACGCCAUACAAUGGUGCAUACAGAGGGUUUGCCAACCCGCGAGGGGAGCCAAUCCCAGAAACGUGCAUCGUAGUCCGGAUUGCAGUCUGC
rnacentral:rRNA from 1 species